ensembl:lncRNA
CUCAGGAAUGGUAAUGGCUAGAGGCGUUCUGUUUUUUUCCUCGAAAAGAGGACACUUCAGGCUUGUGCGUUGUAAAUGGGCUGUUCUAUGGGCAGGUCAGUGUCCAAUCAAAACUAUCGAGCGAUAUCACAAGGAGCUCAAAUAUCCAAUUGUAGAGCCUUUGUGCUCUGACAUAGUGUAUCAAAGAUGUCUUCUGAAGACGAGGAGUAGCUCCCCUGACUAGCUGGAUCGUCGACACGUCUGAAAAGCGGCUCUGAAUGCAAUAAUGGGGCAUAGCGGACCGUUAUCUUAGUCGGAAUGUGCGUUGUUUUGUAUACCCCUAUUAUACACUCUUAUUUCUUACUGGAAACGUUUAUUUGGCUUAUUAGCGUUACUGUGUUUUGUUACGCUAACCCGGAAGUUACGUCGAAGACGUUCCGGGUGAACAGGAGAGUUAUUACUCUCAGACGCUCACAGUAAACAGCGCUCUUUUGCCACACAAAUAUUUCAGUGACAAAACAUUUAGACAUUUUAGACACUUCUGAAAAUUGAUUUAUAUAGUGACAAUAAGAAAUCAAGUAAUAAUAUUGUGUAAAUAAGUAAUUUGAUAUACUUAUUUGUGUUUCUGACAUUUAUUUUAUAGAAAAAAGUGUCCCAGUUGCAUCAUCAUUCUUUUUAUGUCUGUAUGCUGUGUUGAUAGUUCAGAUUAUCUUAUUGUAACUAUGUCUUCCUCUUCCAGAACACACAGGAUAACCUGCAACCCAGCAAAGUCCUUGUAACCACUUUUAAAGAUAAGACAGAAGUUGCUAAAAACAUUUUCCAUGUUAACAGUGCCAAGGAUCUCAUUGAUCAAAGCCUAGCCCAGCAAACUGGCUGUGUGCUUGACAGGUUGUUAAAGUAUAAUACUGAUUUCAUGGAAUACAUUGAUGUUGACAUGAAUGAGGAGGAAUUGAAGGAUUUGGAUAGAUAUCACAUCUUUCUAUCAACACAAGGGACCCAAGUUGAAUGUGUGGAGGCAAAUCAAAAUCAGGCUCAACCACACACUGAAGGUGCAGGCGGUCAAUGGGAGACUGAACCUAGUGCUAGUGAAGCUUGUCAGAGUGGUCCACUGGAGAAAUGCCAAGGAGAAAAUGAUGGCGUGCACAGAUUUGAUGCAGCCAAUCUGGUGGUGCUAAUUAAUAACAAAGCCCCAAGUGUACUUGCCGAAUAUGAAAAAUCUGGAACGCUCUCUCUGGCAUCCAGAAAACUCCUUGUGAGAACAGGUGUCAGCGAUCUGGUUGAGCGACGGGGAUUGUGAGUUGAUUGAUCAUUCAUCUAGACCAUCAUUUUUUAUAGUACAUGUGCUCCAAAAUGAAACAUAAUAAAGGAUUAUCUUAUCUUAUCUCAUAACAUAAUACUAAAAUUUGAUGUAAUCUUUAUUACACUAUUGCAUUUUAAAUUUUUUUCUG